GAUGAACGCUGGCGGCGUGCCUAAUACAUGCAAGUCGAGCGAACAGACGAGGAGCUUGCUCCUCUGACGUUAGCGGCGGACGGGUGAGUAACACGUGGAGAACCUACCUAUAAGACUGGGAUAACUUCGGGAAACCGGAGCUAAUACCGGAUAAUAUAUUGAACCGCAUGGUUCAAUAGUGAAAGACGGUUUUGCUGUCACUUAUAGAUGGAUCCGCGCCGCAUUAGCUAGUUGGUAAGGUAACGGCUUACCAAGGCAACGAUGCGUAGCCGACCUGAGAGGGUGAUCGGGCACACUUGAGCUGAGACACGGUCCCAACUCCUACGGGAGGCAGCAGUAGGGAAUCUGCCGCAGUGGGCGAAAGCGUGACGGAGCAACGCGGCGGGGGUGAGGAAGGUCUGUUGGUCGUAAAACUCUGUUAUGCGGGAGGAACAAAUGUGUAUGUAAUGAUGCACGUCUUGACGGAACCUAAUCAGAAGGCCACGGCUAAUAACGU
rnacentral:rRNA from 1 species